rnacentral:rRNA from 1 species
UACGAAGGGUGCAAUCGUUGCUCGGAAUUAUUGGGCGUAAAGCGCACGUAGGCGGUAUUGCAAGUCGUAUGUGAAAUCCCUCGGCUCAACCAAGGAAGUGCAUCCGAAACUGCCGUACUUGAGUACUUAAGAGGAUCGCGGAAUUUCCGGUGUAGCGGUGAAAUGCGUAGAGAUCGGAAGGAACACCAGUGGCGAAGGCGGCUACCUGGACUGAUACUGACACUGAGGCGCGAGAGCGUGGGGAGCAAACAGG